AAUAUGCAAGCACGCAGGUGGCCGCUGGAUGUAUGAUCGGCGAAACAAGCGGGAAACAGGAAACCGGUGGAAAUCCGGUACGGUCGCGCCACUGUUAUCGAGUCAUCGAGAGUCAGACCCUGUUUCCAGUCCGCCAGUCCAU
rfam:Frateuria aurantia DSM 6220, complete genome.